AUUGAACGCUGGCGGCAGGCCUAACACAUGCAAGUCGAGCGGAUGAAGGGAGCUUGCUCCUGGAUUCAGCGGCGGACGGGUGAGUAAUGCCUAGGAAUCUGCAUGGUAGUGGGGGAUAACGUCCGGAAACGGGCGCUAAUACCGCAUACGUCCUGAGGGAGAAAGUGGGGGAUCUUCGGACCUCACGCUAUCAGAUGAGCCUAGGUCGGAUUAGCUAGUUGGUGGGGUAAAGGCCUACCAAGGCGACGAUCCGUAACUGGUCUGAGAGGAUGAUCAGUCACACUGGAACUGAGACACGGUCCAGACUCCUACGGGAGGCAGCAGUGGGGAAUAUUGGACAAUGGGCGAAAGCCUGAUCCAGCCAUGCCGCGUGUGUGAAGAAGGUCUUCGGAUUGUAAAGCACUUUAAGUUGGGAGGAAGGGCAGUAAGUUAAUACCUUGCUGUUUUGACGUUACCAACAGAAUAAGCACCGGCUAACUUCGUG
rnacentral:rRNA from 1 species